rnacentral:rRNA from 1 species
AGAGCGAACGCUGGCGGCAGGCUUAACACAUGCAAGUCGAACGCCCGGGCAACCGGGAGUGGCAGACGGGUGAGUAACACGUGGGAACAUGCCCUUCGGUUCGGAAUAACUCGGGGAAACUCGUGCUAAUACCGGAUACGUCCGUAAGGAGAAAGAUUUAUCGCCGAAGGAUUGGCCCGCGUCCGAUUAGCUAGUUGGUGGGGUAAAAGCCCACCAAGGCGACGAUCGGUAGCUGGUCUGAGAGGAUGAUCAGCCACACUGGGACUGAGACACGGCCCAGACUCCUACGGGAGGCAGCAGUGGGGAAUAUUGGACAAUGGGCGCAAGCCUGAUCCAGCCAUGCCGCGUGAGUGAUGAAGGCCCUAGGGUUGUAAAGCUCUUUCGGCGGGAAGAUAAUGACGGUACCCGCAGAAGAAGCCCCGGCUAACUUCGUGCCAGCAGCCGC